rnacentral:tRNA from 1 species
GCCUGGGUGGCUCAGUCGGUUAAGCAUCUGACUUCGGCUCAGGUCAUGAUCUUGCGGUUCGUGGGUUCGAGUCCCCCGUCGGGCC